rnacentral:lncRNA from 13 species
GGGACUCGGUGUUCCCGGCCAUGAAACGGGGCCGCAGCCGUGCUCCACGCUAACUGUUCCACGGGCGGGCUCUGGUAUUCUUCCUCUAGGAGGCCCCUGGCGUUAGGUGUGAACGCCCUCUGGCAACUGUGGGGAGCUGUACCCUCCCGCCGCCCGUCUGUAGAUCCUGCACACUGGUGGGUUGACAUAAGAGAGGUCUGCUUGACUGCAAGCAAAACCUGGAAUGCCAUAAGUGUUGGACUUCUGUGUCUCCUGCAAGUUUAAAGCCUUCUUGCUUCUUCGCUCAUUGGCAUCAUCAAGCUCAAAUGAUACAUUCUCAGAGAAGCCUGCCCGAUCUCCCUGAAGCUCCCCAGCUGUAGAACCUCUUAGCAAUACCUUUCCUUAACAGUCACAGUGUUUACAGUUAGUGGGUCAUUGAUAUCUGUCCCUCGCACUUGCCUGUAAGUCCCAUGAGGACAGAGACAGACCACGUUUGGUUUUGGUAUUGUUUGUUUUUACUAGGUUUUACUUUUUAGAGCAGUUUUAGAGUCAUUGCCAAAUUGAGUAGAAAGUACAGAGUUGUCACAUAUACCUCCUGGCCCCACACAUGCAUAGCUUCCUGAAUUAUCAGCAUCCCCCACCAGAGUAU